GUGAAUCAUCGAAUUUUUGAACGCAAAUUGCGCUCUCCUCGGAGAGUAUGCGUGUUUGAGGGUCAGCCUAUAAAAAAUCGACAUCGUUGCUGUUUCCUGGUGACGUUCGUCGGAAACCGGGUCAUCUUAAAUCUUUUGGGUUUAAGCGACUUAAAAUUCUUUUUUUGAUUCUAUGAACGUGUUUUUAAGAUUUAUUUCUUUAUACGCUUAAGGUAUCGAUUUUUAUUAGACGUGACA
rnacentral:misc_RNA from 1 species